UUCGUUUGUGUUCCAAUCACGAUCAGCCGCAAGCGAUCCCUUCACGUGAAACAAGGAGCCAACCGCGCGCCCUUCAUAUUCCAACGACAAUCACACAGGCGCAGCUGUUCUAGCCCUAGCCGCCGACGCCUGACGUUCGUACUGGUAGUCUGGUACUGCCGCCAGAUCCCUCCCUAGUCCUGGGGCCCUCAUCUCUAAUUCUGUAGAGCACACGAACUGAUGCAGUGACGCUCAUCACUGCCGACCAUCAGCAUUGUGCGUUAUCAUGUGGUACAAAAACAGGACGUAUUCAUCGGGUAGCGAUAAAAGGAAAAGGAAGACGGCCAUGAAUAAAUUGGUACAAUCACAACGCGGAGAUACACACAAAAUUCUCAAAAGUAAUAAUGGUGCUUCCGCUGCUUCAAUAAACCAAGCCAUAGAGGAAGAGCAGCAACCAAUUCGGAAUUCGGAAUAUGAUCAGCGAGAAGAAAAUGUUGACACCAACAUCGGCGAUGAUAAUGUAAGUGGCUCCGAGACACUGAGAUUAUUGAACUUAUUUCCGAACUGAACAGUAUGAGAUUCACAUUGCCAUAUGGCGUAAUGUAUGCAAUUAAUGGAGAUUUUCGAACCUGUUAGAGAAGUUGAUA